rnacentral:lncRNA from 1 species
UGAAGUUACAAUAUUAUUCUACUCAUAUUGUAUAAAGAGUCAAGUACUUCUCUAUUUUUGAAUUAUGCUUUGUAUGUUGUAAGUUCUGAAGACGCUAUGAGUCUAGAACACUCGAUCGCUAUGAGAUCAAUGAUGCAGUCUUAAGCUCGCCAUGAGAGCUUAGAUUGUUUUCAUACUACAAAGCUGAGAGAUAUUGUAUUGCUUUACUAUUCGAAUAUAAGAGUUUACAGAGUUACAUUGAUCAAGGAUCUAUCAUUGGUGUGGUGAAAAGUUCGAACACGACGAGUGCGAUGGCGACGAGCGGUUCUCCGGUUCAAUCGGUGUAUGAAGAAGAUCUGGAGGUGGUGGAUUCGAAGACGAGAGGUCGCGUUGAGUUUCUCAUGGGAGCGUUCGAGCGAUUGAAUAAGGAACAUGCGGUGACGAAUUCUUCCGUGGCGACGAUGGAAGGG